rnacentral:rRNA from 1 species
GACGAACGCUGGCGGCGUGCUUAACACAUGCCAGUCGAACGAAAAGAGGGAAAGAGCUUGCUCUUUCCGGAAUUGAGUGGCAAACGGGUGAGUAACACGUAAACAACCUGCCUUCAGGAUGGGGACAACAGACGGAAACGACUGCUAAUACCGAAUAAGUUCCAAGGGCCGCAUGGCCCAUGGAAGAAAAGGUGGCCUCUACCUGUAAGCUAUCGCCUGAAGAGGGGUUUGCGUCUGAUUAGCUGGUUGGAGGGGUAACGGCCCACCAAGGCGACGAUCAGUAGCCGGUCUGAGAGGAUGAACGGCCACACUGGAACUGAGACACGGUCCAGACGCCUACGGGAGGCAGCAGUGGGGAAUCUUCCGCAAUGGGCGAAAGCCUGACGGAGCAACGCCGCGUGAGUGAUGACGGCCUUCGGGUUGUAAAACUCUGUGAUCCGGGACGAAAAGGCAGAGUGCGAAGAACAAACUGCAUUGACGGUACCGGAAAAGCAAGCCACGGCUAACUACGUG